UUCAGUUAAUAUUUUAAUAUGUUAAAAUGAAAAAAGGAGACAAUAGGCUACUGUUUGGUAUAAUAUUUUGUUUUAUAUAAUGUAGGCCUAACGUUACACAUUUCCCUGAACUUCAUUUCUGUGGGUAUUAAUAUGUUUAACGAUUGAAAAUGAGAACGAAAAUAGGCAGUGGUGUUUGAUAUCAUAUUUCGUCUUAAUGAAAUGGGGGGGGGGUCGGUGGAAACGCUGCAUAACUGUACCAAGGUCAUGAACGGUCAAGGCAGAAGGAAAAGACUGAGCGGGAACAGCUGUAGACCGUCCGCAGGAUCAGCUGCACACUGGCUGCUAGAUGGAACAUAUGUUUGCUUGCUUUAAGCCAUGAUAAUAAUUGUCAAAUGGUUAUAUGUCAAAGAAGAAAGGGAAGGCUGUAAUACAACAUAAGCCUAUUGCAUCCAUAAAAUGCCUAGUCCAAAUUAGGAAAAACCAUACCAUGUCUCCCACCUGAUAAAAUUGGUACUUUUGCCCAUCCUGCCAAUACUGCCACUCACGCGUGUGUGGUGAAGCGUUCUAGUGCUCUUUUAGUUACCAUAUUGUGUAUGCAUUUCAGGACAGGCACUAAGUGCAGACAAAUGGAUGAUUUCUUUGGAAGGGACAACUGUGAUGGUGCCCCACAACAACCUUCGCUGUCUACAUGUUUAACUAACAGUAUCCUAGAGGCCUCAAGCACUAAAGAGCUUUUUGUGGAAUCAACUCCAAGAUGUCAGCAAAGCAGAGAAGAGACAUGGGCUCAACGCACCUGUCUGCACCCUAUUAAGAAGACUCCUGGGCUUUGAGUUGAUGGGCUAGUAUUGAUGCCCACCCACACCCCACAGCUUCCCCAGUUCAAGACUGGUUGGGACCUUUUGUUAUUUAUUACCAUGUUCCCCCUGAUGAUAGACUGUCUGGAUGUCUGGAAGUGAGCUAGAUUCUUCAGUGAAACUGUAAUUUUGUUUGUAUGAAAAAAAAAAAAAGAUAAAAUAAGUUUGUAAUAUGUGAUGUUGCAUAGUGUGUUAAUAAUAAAAAAUAAUAAAAAGUU